CCUCCGGGAGGCAGCAGUGGGGAAUUUGCAACAAUGGGCGAAAGCCUGAUGCAGCGACGCCGCGUGGGGGAUGAAGGCCCUAGGGUCGUAAACCCCUUUCAGUAGGGACGAUAAUGACGGUUCCCCCAGAAGAAGGCCCGGCCAACUACGUGCCAGCAGCCGCGGUAAGCCGUAGGGGGCGAGCCUUUUCCGGAAAUAUUGGGCCUAAAGGCCUGGUAGGCCGGUGCGUAAGUCGGAUGUGAAAACCCAGGGCUUAACCCUGAGACGCCAUCCGAUACUGCGCUGACUUGAGUCCGGUAGRGGAGUGUGGAAUUCCUGGUGUAGCGGUGAAAUGCGUAGAUAUUAGGAGGAACACCAAUUGCGAAGGCAGCACUCUGGGCCGGUACUGACACUGAGGAGCGAAAGCGUGGGU
rnacentral:rRNA from 1 species